GAGCGGAGGAGCGGGGUGACGUGAGAGAACUUGGGAAGGUUGAACACCAGACGGGCUGCGGCGUUCUGGAUGAGUUGUAGGGGUUUAAUGGCACAGGCAGGGAGCCCAGCCAACAGCGAGUUGCAGUAAUCCAGACGGGAGAUGACAAGUGCCUGGAUUAGGACCUGCGCCGCUUUCUGUGUGAGGCAGGGUCGUACUCUGCGGAUGUUGUAGAGCAUGAACCUACAGGAACGGGCCACCGCCUUGAUGUUAUUUGAGAACGACAGGGUGUUGUCCAGGAUCACGCCAAGGUUCUUAGCGCUCUGGGACGAGGACACAAUGGAGUUGUCAACCGUGAUGGCGAGAUCAUGGAACGGGCAGUCCUUCCCCGGGAGGAAGAGCAAAGAGAAAGCGUUCCUGUGAUGAGGGUCCAAACCCUUCUCAACUCCUCCCAACAGCAUUUCCCAGAGGCGCUGACCUGUCACUCUCUGUUGCAGCUGCCCAUCUACCCCUCCAAAGAGACACUACAGAGCAGGCUUAUAGAAGCUGUUGGCCACAACAGAGGCUUCUGGAAUGAAUAAUGGGUGUUUUGUGUUGCUAUUUACACACUCCUCUCCUGUGUUCAUAUUUUAAUUGUUCCAUAGUUGGGUUUAAUAUUUGGAUUGUUUUAAUGUAGGGUUGUAUUUCAAAUCCUAACUUGAGAUCUGUACAGUGCUAUGACAUUAUCAUAUUGCAUUCACCAAAUUUUAUUAAAACAUUUAUAAAUCAAAAAGUACAGCAUGGUUUGUGCACAAUAAACAUUAACACAAAUUUGAACUAAGAUACAAGGAAAUCCCAAAGUAUUUGAAAUAAUCUAAUUGUUAAAAGAAGCAGAUCAGGAUUCCAGUUGAACACAAUAACUGUUCAUUUACAAGACCCACCAAAUGGUUCAUUACAGAAAUCAAUGAGAGCAUAAUAUCCCUGCAGUUAGGUGGCACACAAUAAGGCACAGAUCAUUUGACACAUCCUUCUCAACCAUGUUUCCCCAAUUCACAAUAUAGGGCAGCAUUGAACUCAAGACGAUCUAUAGCACAGCGCACUAUAAGAUACUUUUAAAGGUAAUUUACACUUGAGCAGACAUGCCAGUGUUUACCAUGAAUGUGAUCUGUGAACGUCAGGGAAAA